UCAGUGCGCAGGCGCAAGCAGCGACUCUGCUUAUAUAAGGGAGGUCCUUAGCGCCUUUCUUUCUUUCACUUCUGCGGUUUUUGCUGUGCUUGUACUUCUACUCCGGAGGGUUUUGGUCUGCUCCCCCCAGCCUAGCUUGGUUCGGUCAGCGAGAUGGAAAGGAACAGGCCGGAGUCUGAGGAACAGGAUUGCCGCUGGCUCUCCGAGCGAGCCUCGUGUAAAUGUUUGCAGUUUUGGAACACCUGAGCUCUGGGUUUAGGCUUAUGGUCAGAAAACGUGGAGUGACUACAGAGUCACGUGGAGUGACUAGAGUUCGAAGAAUUAGAUCAGAAGCCUGUGAACAUCCGAAGGCACCUCACUCCUGUCAUUGGUGAGAAGUUGCUUUUUGGGUGGGAAUAGCAACAAGAGUAGAAGGCCUUUAUCCUGAUAAUGUUUGAGGAACCACAUGACCAACCCUGUGCUGGUUUUGAAAGAUCAAAGAACCUUUGUAACUCAUAAAUAAAUUUUGUAGAACCUU